rnacentral:rRNA from 1 species
UGGGGAAUCUUCCGCAAUGGACGAAAGUCUGACGGAGCAACGCCGCGUGAGUGAAGAAGGUUUUCGGAUCGUAAAACUCUGUCUUUUGGGGCGAACGUGAGUAUGGUGAACAAUCAUAGUCAGUGACGGUACCAAAGGAGGAAGCCACGGCUAACUACGUGCCAGCAGCCGCGGUAAUACGUAGGUGGCAAGCGUUGUCCGGAAUUAUUGGGCGUAAAGAGCGCGUAGGCGGGAUAGUCAGUCUGUUGUAAAGUGCGGGGCUCAACCCCGUGAUGGCAAUGGAAACAGCUAUUCUUGAGUGCAGGAGAGGAAAGUGGAAUUCCCAGUGUAGCGGUGAAAUGCGUAGAUAUUGGGAGGAACACCAGUGGCGAAGGCGACUUUCUGGACUGUGUCUGACGCUGAGGCGCGAAAGCCAGGGGAGCGAACGGGAUUAGAUACCCCGGUAGUCCUGGCCGUAAACGAUGGGUACUAGGUGUGGGAGGUAUCGACCCCUUCCGUGCCGGAGUUAACGCAAUAAGUACCCCGCCUGGGGAGUACGGUCGCAAGACUGAAACUCAAAUGAAUUGACGGGGUCAUAGCUGUUUCCU